UACGUAGGGGGGCUAGCGUUGUCCGGAUUUAUUGGGCGUAAAGAGCGUGUAGGCGGCCUGACAGGUCUGCUGUGAAAACUCGAGGCUCAACCUCGAGAUGUCGGCGGAAACCGUCUGGCUAGAGUCCGGAAGAGGAGAGUGGAAUUCCUGGUGUAGCGGUGAAAUGCGCAGAUAUCAGGAAGAACACCUAUGGCGAAGGCAGCUCUCUGGGACGGUACUGACGCUGAGACGCGAAAGCGUGGGGAGCGAACAGG
rnacentral:rRNA from 1 species